ACCUGACUGCUAUCGGAUUGAUACUAAGCCAUGCGAGUCAUUGUAGCAAUACAAGGCAUACGGCUCAGUAACGCGUAGUCAACCUAACCUAUGGACGGGAAUAACCUCGGGAGACUGAGAAUAAUGCCCGAUAGAACACUAUACCUGGAAUGGUUUGUGUUCCAAAUGAUUUAUCGCCAUAGGAUGGGACUGCGGCCUAUCAGUUUGUUGGUGAGGUAAUGGCCCACCAAGACUAUUACAGGUACGGGCUCUGAGAGGAGUAGCCCGGAGAUGGGUACUGAGACACGGACCCAGGCCCUAUGGGGCGCAGCAGGCGAGAAAACUUUGCAAUGUGCGAAAGCACGACAAGGUUAAUCCGAGUGAUUUGUGCUAAACGAAUCUUUUGUUAGUCCUAGAAACACUAACGAAUAAGGGGUCGGCAAGUUCUGGUGUCAGCCGCCGCGGUAAAACCAGCACCUCAAGUGGUCAGGAUGAUUAUUGGGCCUAAAGCAUCCGUAGCCGGCUCUGUAAGUUUUCGGUUAAAUCUGUACGCUUAACGUACAGGCUGCCGGGAAUACUGCAGAGCUAGGGAGUGGGAGAGGUAGACGGUACUCGGUAGGAAGUGGUAAAAUGCUUUGAUCUAUCGAUGACCACCUGUGGCGAAGGCGGUCUACCAGAACACGUCCGACGGUGAGGGAUGAAAGCUGGGGGAGCAAACCGGAUUAGAUACCCGGGUAGUCCCAGCUGUAAACUAUGCAAACUCAGUGAUGCAUUGGCUUGUGGCCAAUGCAGUGCUGCAGGGAAGCCGUUAAGUUUGCCGCCUGGGAAGUACGUACGCAAGUAUGAAACUUAAAGGAAUUGGCGGGGGAGCACCACAAGGGGUGAAGCCUGCGGUUC
rnacentral:rRNA from 1 species